AUAUUUGUUAGUAUAUAUAUUUAUUCAUUUAUAGUUUAAUAUUUUCAUUAUACUCUAAUUCGUAGGUUUAUACAUUUAUUAUACUCUAAUUGGUAGAGUAAUUGAAUAAACCCAAAUUCUACCACCACCGUUAACUACCACACGAAGCCACCAACAACUAACCACCGCCAUCACUACUGACAUCAUUCCUUCCUACCACCAUCAAAUCUACCAUUUUUACCUAAUACCGUCGCCGUUCUUCCUUCCUCCCACCACCAUCAGAUAUUGGAUAUCUUAUACUCUAGCAAGCUCCAAAAAUCAUAUCUGAAUAAAAAAGAAUCAUAAUUCACAGUGUAAUAAAACAUAUCAGACACACGUUCACAAUAUUCAGGUAGACUAGGGUGAGCAUCAGGCGGUUAAACAAAUAAUACUAUUUUUAUUUUUGAAAAAACAAAAGACUUGUGAAUUUUCUAUUAAUUAAAAGUCAGGGGUACGUUGUUUCUAUAAAUACAAAAAUUAUUGAGAAAAGUAUUAGUUUUGGUUGAUCUUUAUAUUGUAUCACAGGGCAGUAAUUACUUUUGUUUAUACAUUGAAUAAUCCAAACUAUCAAAUCCAAUUCAGUUUGAACCUGCCACUAAGCUAUUUGAAUUUGAGUCCAUAUCCAAAUAACGGUUUUAUACCAUUUUUGGUUCCAUACUUGAUACUUCUAUUGCAAAAAAGGAGGAAAAAAGCAACAGGGAACGGGGAGCGAGAACUCAUAAGAGAGCAGUUAUAUGAGCUAAUCAAUAAAUAUUUAUCUAAUAUAGCAUACAUAUACAUAUUUUUAUUAAUUAAAAUAAUUUUGAAAUCUUAUUCGGUUUUCGGGUGCAUGCCGAAUAACAUUUGCUAAACCGCCAACCAGAUUAAAGUCUCUUGUUAACCCGCAAACCGAACCACUAACCAAUUAUUCUGAAACUGAAAAACCAAAUAAGGUUUGGUUCGGGUGGUUUCACAAUUUCAAAAGAAUAAGGCUCACUUCUAGUUCAAACACUCAUUCAAAGCUUAAAAGACUAGUUUAGACAUCCAUUCACAACUUAAUAGACUAGUUAGCCACUCAUUCAUAAUAUUUACACUUUUCAAGGCAUUUCACCAAACAUUUUCAUGCAACUUGUUUCUAGAUUUGAGAGUGUUCCUUGCUUCAGAUCCAUGAGCACCAAUAUGAGCACCAAUAGUUCUCUUACACUCUAGCAAUUCCAAAAAAUCAUAAUUCACAAUUUAAUACGACAUUUCAAACAUUCAUUCAUAGUAUUUACAGCUUAAAAAUAGUUUAGACCCUCAUUCACAACAUAAAAGGUUAGGAGUUGUAGGAACAAACUUGGACCAUAAAUCAAUUUUAAAUGAAAGGCCUAUUAUUUUCACGCCUUUUUUAUGAAUUUGGUUCAUUAAAGAUAAUUUUGUCCUUAUAAAUUCUAAUUGAAUAACUUAGAUAUUAAUCUCUCCCGUGAUGAUCCCCCCAACUUCGGUUUUAAUUAGACUAUGCAUAUGAAAAUUCACAAGAAAAAAAUAUGACAUUCAUUAUAUUGUGAAUGUCAAAUUAAUACCAUUAUUGUUCUUAUAAAAACAUUGAAUUUCAAAAAAGACGAUAUUUAGUAUAAUGACUAACUAGGUGUAAAACCCAUGUAUUUCAUGGGUUAAUUUAAAAGAAAAUUUAAAUAUGAAAUUCCAAACAUUUAAAAGUUUGAAUUUAUAAAAAAAAUUAAAAAAAUGUUGAAUUAUUAAAAUUAAUGUGUUUUUUUUUUCUAAAUUUAAACAAAUAAUUUAGAUAAAUAAAAAAGGAAACUAAUGAUAUUUUAAUUUAAAAUUUUUUAAAUUAAAAGGAAAGUCAAUUAAUGAAAUUGAUAAGUAUUUAUUAUUACAUUUAUUAUAAUUAUUAUAUUUAAAUAUUAUAUGGAAUUUGAUAAAAUGAAAAAAACCACAAAAUGACAUGUGGUCAAAUUAAUGAAAGUGUAACAUGUGGACAAAAUGAUUUUCAUUUAUUAUAGUAGAAGUAGACGAGAAUGUCAAAUUAAUAACAUUAUUAACUUUACAAAACAAGAAACGUCCAUAAUUCAUAGUUGAAUAAAUUAAACAAUAUUAUGAAAUUUCAUUUGAUUCAACUGUGAAAAUCAUAAGUUUUUUUUAUUCAUAAACACAAUUUACAAUUUAAUUUUACAUUAUAUUAUUAAAUAUUUUACAAAUUCAACUAAUUUAACUAUGAGCAUGAGGAGCAUUCCUAAAAUUAUAGCUUCAUGAAAACUAUUCACAGUUUAAAAAUUCAUUUAUACUAUCAACUUUCUUCCAAUGCAACUUAUUCAAGUGUGAAUAUGAUUUGACGAAACAUCAUUUACAGUUGAAUAGUUUGUUAAUUUACCAACUAUUAUGAAAUUUCAUCUCUCAUUCAAUCACAAUUAUCGAUAGCGAAUAGCGGUAAAUAACGAUGAGCUACCUAUAAGCUAUGUAGCGAUAGUGAUGGAAUAGCGAACGCUAUUUCGUAUUUAGCGAUAGGCAUAAAAAUAUUAAAAAUAUUUAUUAUGUUCAAAUACUAUAGUUAUUAUAAAUUUAUAAUCAAUAAAUAAGGAAACAAACCAUUAAACUAGAUAAAAACGUUCAAAACUUCAACCCUUAUCUCUUUUAUUCUCAUUUAUCCCUUAAAAAAGAGAGAAAAAAAACGAAAAAAAAAACCCCUAAUGUCGCUAUUUACCACGCUAUUUGUCGCUAAGCACUCAAUAGCGACCAUAUACCUAUACGCUAUGCUAUGCUAUUCGCUAUAGCGACCGCUAUGGUCGCUAUUGACAACUAUUCAUUCAAUUGUGAACAUCAUAAGUUUUGUUAUUCAUGAACACAAUUCAUAAUUUAAUUUUAUAUUAUAUUUACUAAAUAUCUUACAAAUUCAACUAAUUCAACUGUAUUCAGGAGGAUAAUUUCAAAAAUUAUAGUUUCAUGAAAACCAUUCACAGUUUAAAACUUCAUUUAUACUAUCAAUUUUCUUCAAAUGCAACUUAUUCAACUAUGAAUAUGAGUUGUUGAAACAUCAUUCAAUUCAACUAUGAAUGUAUGAAUCAUAGAACCAAAUAUAUAACUAAAUUCAUUUCAUCCUAUCGUGUUCAUCAUAAUGAUUAUAAAUUGUUAUGGAUAUGAGUUGAUGAAAGAUCAUUCACAGUUGAAUAGAUUGUCAAUUAACCGACUAUUAUGAAAUUUCAUCUAAUUCAACUAUGAAUAUCAUAAAAAUUUGUAUUCAUGAACAUCAUUUAUAAUUUAAUUUUAUAUUAUAUUACUAUAUUACUAUAUAUCUUACAAAUUCAACUAAUUCAACGGUAAUCAUGAGGACAAUUCCUAAAAUUAUAGUUUCAAAAAAAUCAUUCACAAUUCAAAAAUUCAUUUAUACUAUCGAUUUUCUUCAAAUGCAACUUAUUCUAUUGUGAAGAUGAUUUGCUGAAGCAUCAUUCAACUGUGAAUGUAUGAAUUAUAUAACCAAAUGUAUAAAUAAAUUUAUUUCAUCCAAUCAUGAUCAUUAUAAUGAUUAUAAACAAGAUAAACAUUAAAAGCAUCAUAAAAACAUAUAACAUAAUUGAUUAUUUCGUAGCCAACCUUGAUAUCAUUUGAGGCUUCAUCUUCUUCAUAGAUUUAUUCAUUGUUGGAGAUUUAUUGAAGAAAUUGAUGUAGCUCAGAAUCCUCGACGAACACCUGUGCAACACGUCCACCGGCGACAUUGCAACACAAUCGACGCAACACAACAAUCGACAGAGAGGUAAUCAGAUUCCUCAACGGUAUUUUUAAUAGAUCUGAAGUAGGAGAUCGAUACGAUUACAACAAAGAGGUUUUCCGUUUAUGUUGACGGUGAGCAUGAACAGAUGGAGGCGUUGUGGUUUAGCUAGAGAGAAGAAUUAGGUUUACGUAUUCAAAUCACAAGAUAUUUCAUCGAAUCUGAUUUGGGAAAAAAAUAAUGCCUUUAAUUUGAAAAUAAUGC
rnacentral:lncRNA from 1 species